GUCCACGCCCUAAACGAUGUUCACUCGAUGUGUGCGAUACACUGCACGCGUCCAAGCGAAAGCGAUAAGUGAACCACCUGGGGAGUACGGUCGCAAGACUGAAACUCAAAGGAAUUGACGGGGGCCCCGCACAAGCGGAGGAGCAUGUGGUUUAAUUCGAUGAUACGCGCGGAACCUUACCAGGGCUUGAAAGUUAGUGAAUGACGUAGAAAUAUGCCAGCUCGCAAGAGCACGAAACUAGGUGCUGCAUGGCUGUCGU
rnacentral:rRNA from 1 species